UUCUUUCCGAUCCAAUUUAAUUUCUCUCAUAAACCAGAAUCCACUUAUAAAAAUCCCUCUCUAUUAAUUUUUCUGUAAAAUAAACCCAAACUCUUUAUUUUUUUUUUCUCCAUUCCGACCCCCUCUCUUUUUUUUCUCCUUCUUCAUGUCGCAAGCUUCUUCUCCUCUCCUCCUUCUCGCCAUGCCACACCUCUUCCUCUCUCCCUCACUGCGAUUUCUCCUUCCCUCUUCUCUCCCUCGCCGUGACUUCUCCUUCCCUCUCCUCUUCCUCGCGCCACGGCCCCUUCUCUUCCUUUCCUCUCUUCCUUGGCCGAUGCUUCUCCUCCACCUUGGUGUCUCACUCGGUGUCUCCUCUUCCUCGUGCCGCCGCAUCACUGCUUCACCUCGCUGCUCGUGCUGCCAUGAAGCUCUACCACCGCUAAAGCUUCUUCCUUGCCGACCUUCAUCCACGGCGAGCUUCCUCCACCGCGCCGCCACCACUCCUCUCCUCCUCCAAUGAAGAGUUCCAUGCUCUACUGCACCGCUUUCCUUCUGCUCCUCCUCCGCAAGAGCAAAGGUUAGCUUGGAUUGUUUCAUCUAAUGUUGUUGUUACACAGGCGUUUUUGUUCCUGGUAUACAUGAUUCUCACCAUGGACCAGACCUGAUGGUUAACCAAAUGAGGCUAGACCAUCAACUUAACACGCCCGAUUCCUCGGUUUUUUAGUAAGUUCGGGAUAGGGAUGUUACAGAGUCGCUUUUUUUUUUAAACCCGAAAAUUCGUAUUAUGUAAUAUGGAGAAUGUGGUUGCAGAAAGAUAAAUGAAUCAGGUAUAAAAGAGAUAUCUUUUCCUGGUCUUGCUAAUUCAUGACAUGUGAUGUGAAAAAUACGAUAUGAGAGAGAUGAAUGAUUCUGCAA